GGGGCUAUAGCUCAGCUGGGAGAGCGCUUGCAUGGCAUGCAAGAGGUCGACGGUUCGAUCCCGUCUAGCU
rnacentral:tRNA from 1 species